AGUCUUUCUUCCAAAAAGGGUAAUGGUGACCUAGCCAAGCAACUGGUGAUUGGAAAGGGUCUGAGGAUUACAGUGAAGAUGGCCAUUCAGGACAGACAGGUCCAAAUUGAGGUAGUACUUUCUGCCUCUGCCCUCAUUAUCAAAGCCCUCAAGGAACUGCCAAGGUAUAGAAAGAAGCAGAAAAAUAUUAAGUACAAUGGAAAUACCAGUUUUGAUGAGAUUGUUGACAUUGCUGGACAGAUGGGACACCCAUCUUUAGUUAGAGAACUCUCUGGAACCGUUAAAGAGACCCUAGGGACUGGCUCUCUGCUCCUCCCCGUUCGACAGACAGCCGCAUCUUCUGGUGCAGUGCCAGCUGCAUCCCCGAGACACGAUGGUGAAGGUUGGAGUGAACGGAUUUGGCCGUAUUGGGCACCUGGUUACCAGGGCUGCUUUUAACUCUGGCAAAGUGGAUAUUGUCACCAUCAAUGACCCCUUCAUUGACCUCAACUACAUGGUCUACAUGUUCCAGUAUGAUUCCACCCAUGGCAAAUUCCACGGCACAGUCAAGGCUGAGAACGGGAAGCUUGUCAUCAAUGGAAAGUCCAUCUCCAUCUUCCAGGAGCGAGAUCCCGCCAACAUCAAAUGGGGUGAUGCUGGUGCUGAGUAUGUUGUGGAGUCCACUGGGGUCUUCACCACCAUGGAGAAGGCUGGGGCUCACUUGAAGGGCGGGGCCAAGAGGGUCAUGAUCUCUGCUCCCUCUGCCAAUACCCCCAUGUUCGUGAUAGGUGUGAACCAUGAGAAGUAUGACAACUCUCUCAAGAUUGUCAGCAAUGCCUCCUGUACCACCAACUGCUUGGCUCCUCUGGCCAAGGUCAUCCAUGACAACUUCGGCAUCGUGGAGGGACUCAUGACCACCGUCCAUGCCAUCAUUGCCACCCAGAAGACUGUGGACAACCCCUCUGGGAAGCUGUGGCACGACGGCUGAGGGGCUGCCCAGAACAUCAUCCCUGCUUCCACUGGCGCUGCCAAGGCUGUGGGCAAGGUCAUCCCUGAGCUGAAUGGGAAGCUCACUGGCAUGGCCUUCCGUGUCCCCACCCCCAAUGUGUCCAUCGUGGAUCUGACCUGCCGCCUGGAGAAAGCUGCCAAAUACAACAUCAAGAAGGUGGUGAAGCAGGCAUCAGAGGGCCCCCUCAAGGGCAUCCUGGGGUACACUGAAGACCAGGUUGUCUCCUGCAACUUUAACAGUGACACCCACUCCUCCACCUUCCAUGCCGGGGCUGGCAUUGCUCUCAACGACCACUUUGUCAAGCUCAUUUCCUGGUAUGACAAUGAAUUCGGCUACAGCAACCGGGUGGUGGACCUUAUGGUCCACAUGGCCUCCAAGGAGUAAGAGCCCCCUGGACCACCAGCCCCAGGGAGAGCAAGAGGAAGAGAGGCCCUCAGCUGCUGGGGAGUCCCUGCCCCAACUUAUCCCCCAAAACACUGAAAAUCUCCCGACCUCCACCAUUUCCAUCCCAGACCCCCUGAAGAAGGGGAGGGGCUUGGGGAGCCCUACCUUGUCAUGUGCCAUCUAUAAAGUAUACUGUACCCAGCCAAAAAAAAAAAAGAGAGACCCUAGGGACUGCCAUACUGUGGGCUGUGAUGUUGAAGGCUGCCACCCUCAUGACAUCAUAGAUGACAUCAACAGUGGUACAGUGGAAUGCCCAGCUAUUGAGGGCUACAAAGGAAAAUACUUCAAUAAAGGAUCAUUUGAUUAAAAAAAAAAAAAAAAAAAGACACUCCAACCGUAAAAUAGGCAAGAGACUUGAACAGGCAUUUUAUAAAAGGAUUUCCAAAUGGUCAAGAAACAUAAGUCAUCAGUGAUAUGCAAACUAAAAGCAUACACCAAUCAGAAUGGCCCAAAUAAAAACUAAUAUGACCAAGUAUUGGAAAGGGUACAGAGUAAUAGGAAUGUUCCUCAAUACCAGCAGGAGUGCAUAUUUGGUACAACCCCUUUGGAAAAUAGUUUGGCAUUGUCUACCAAUGUUUAUCAUUUCUAUGACUCAACCAUUCCAUUCCUAGGUUUAUAUACAAAAUAAAUGCGUGCACAUGUGUACCAAGAGACAUGAACAAAAAUACUCAUAGCAGCAUCAUUCAUAAUAGCCAAAAACUAGAAAGAACCCAAAUUUCAUCAAUGGUAUAUUGAUAAAUUAUGGUAUAUUCAUGGAAUAUUAUAUAGCAAUGAAAACGAAUAAGCUUACCUGCAACAACAUAGUUGAGUCUUUCAAACAUAAUGUUGAGUGAAAGAAGCUAGUCUUAAAAUAUUCUGCAUUAUUUCUCUUUAUAUAGAAUUCAGGCAGAAUAAAGCAACACUAUUUAGGAAUGCAUAUUUAGGUGGCCCAAGUAUAAAGAAAAGCAAGAAAAUGAUUCCCUAAGUUAGGACAAUGGUUAUGGAGGAAGGGAACAAGUAAUGAUUGGGAGGGUCAUUAAUGGGGCUUAUAAAGUGCUGGGAAUGAUCUGUUUCUUGGCCUAGGUAGUAGUUUAUAUAGGUGUUUGCUUUGUGAUAAUUUAUUGAGCUGCACAUUUUUGUGUACUUUUCUUUGUGUUAUAUUUCACAAUAAAGAUUUGAAGAGUCAGUGUGUAAUAUAGUUAUUAAGAGAGCUAACUUUGGACUUGGACUGCCUGUUUGUUGGCCAUCUUGGGCAAGUUACUUGAUUUUGCUGAGCUUCAAUUUCUUGAAUGAUAAAAAAGUAAUGGUAGUAUCAACCUCAGUGAGGAAUCAAAAAGAUGAUGCCUACAAAAUGCUUAGAAAGUAAUUGACAUGUACAGUAAGGAUCACUAAGGAACACUGGGUCUUGGCUGUAAUAAUAAAGAUGAUCAGAACGAAGAUAGGAUAUCUAACUAUUUUAAGUUCAGAUUUUUGGAUCCAAGCAAAUGCUAUCCAGGUCUUUUGGUCAGAGUUCUUGAUUACAAGCAAUAGAAAUUAAUUUUGGCUGCCUUAAGCAGAAAAUGGAUUAUUGGAAGAAUAUAGGAGGCUCACCACAUUGUUGGAAAGCCAAAGAGUAGGCUGGUCCAGAGGCUAAGCAGCAAGAACAAUUUGGUGAGGGCUGUUUGGCUGCCACUAGAUGCAUUCCUCCCUCCUUUGUGCCACUGCUAUUUCCAGUUCUUGGUGGGGAUAUUUUAGGUCAUGUGCCUGGUCCUUAACUUCCUGUAUUUGGAAAAAGAAGGGUCUUCCAUUCUGACUUCUUGUGUACUGUUUACAAAGUCAGUCCCCUCCAGGAGAAGGUUGAGUAUUUGAAAGCCAAAAGAUCCACAGGUGACUACUACAUCCAGGGUCCUGAAAGAACCUGCAAUUAUAAUUGUGUGCUAUCUUUGAGGACUGUCAGGGACUAGAAAUGAACCUCUGUAUCAAUUUCCAAAGGGGAAAAGAGAUUAGAAUCCAGAAUCUGUAGACCAUUAAACUUGAAGCAGCUUCUCAGCAAAGUUCUAGAAUAUGUCACAAAUGGUUUGUGAACAUUUAGUAAGGAAAUAAGCGCGGCCAGCAUGGGCAUCCUAAAAAAUUUGACCACCUAAUGAUUUUCUAAUCGAGUCCUCUCUACUCUGUCUCAGGUAUCACUACUAGGUCCUCAUUAUCUCUCAUGUGAACUUUGCCAAGGUCUCCUAUCUGAUCCGGUAAGAUCCAUCUUACCAUCAGCUGCUAUAGAAUCCUACCCCAAAAUACAAAUUUGACCAUGUCAUUUCCUAGCUUAAACUUAAGCUUAAAAUUUUUGAUCAUCUGUGGGAUAGAGGUCCUUCUCAGUCUUCCCUGCUGGACUGAAAGCUUCAUGAGGGCCAGAACUGUGUCUGCUUUAGUGCAUCAUCUCCAGGAUCUAGUGUGGAGCCAGGCACUUGUUAGGGAUUCGUGAAGUAUUGAGUUGAAUCGAUGGGAUUUGUGUCUCUUGGCUCAGGUCUCUGCACACACUGAACUUGCUAUACACACUGAACAGCCGUGGUGUUUUGUUUAUUUUACUAAUGUUUAUUCUUUUUAUUUCUGUGAAGUGCUUCUAAAUAUUUCCUUUAAAUUUUUUUGUGUACAAUACAGUAUUGUUAAUUAUUGGCACAAUAUUGUACGGCACAUCUCUAGAACUUACUCAUCCUAUAUAAUUUAGAUUUUAUACCCAUUGAUUAGCAACUCCACAUUUUCCUCUCCCUGUAGGCCCUGACAAACAUCAUUCUAUUCUCUGAUUUUAUGGGUUUGGCUAUUUUAGAUACCUGUAUAAGUGGAAUUGUACAAUAUUUGUCCUUCUGUGACUGGCUUAUUUCACUUGAAAUAAUGUUCUCAAGGUUCAUCCAUGUUACCACAUGUUGCAGGAUUU